GGAUGAACGCUGGCGGCGUGCCUAAUACAUGCAAGUCGAGCGAACAGACGAGGAGCUUGCUCCUCUGACGUUAGCGGCGGACGGGUGAGUAACACGUGGAUAACCUACCUAUAAGACUGGGAUAACUUCGGGAAACCGGAGCUAAUACCGGAUAAUAUAUUGAACCGCAUGGUUCAAUAGUGAAAGACGGUUUUGCUGUCACUUAUAGAUGGAUCCGCGCCGCAUUAGCUAGUUGGUAAGGUAACGGCUUACCAAGGCGACGAUGCGUAGCCGACCUGAGAGGGUGAUCGGCCACACUGGAACUGAGACACGGUCCAGACUCCUACGGGAGGCAGCAGUAGGGAAUCUUCCGCAAUGGGCGAAAGCCUGUCGGAGCAACGCCGCGUGAGUGAUGAAGGUCUUCGGAUCGUAAAACUCUGUUAUUAGGGAAGAACAAAUGUGUAAGUAACUAUGCACGUCUUGACGGUACCUAAUCAGAAAGCCACGGCUAACUACGUG
rnacentral:rRNA from 1 species